GCAAGAGGACUGGAGUGGGGUUCCACUGCCUUCUCAGUUUAGGCCUGCAAUCCAGUUUUUAUAAAAACUCCCUCAGCCUUGCCCUUGCCCCCUCAGACUUGGACCCCAGUGCGUACCCCUGCUUGACUUGCCACACCCCAGGGUGUGCAGAGCUCCUCCAUUCUGGACAGAGGUACUGAAAAGGGCCUUUCUCAGUAGCAGAGUGGAGAAAUAGCUCCCUCCACCUUCUCGGGCAUCCUGAACUCCAGCCCGCCCCACAGGGCUCCCCACGGAUGGGGUGAGAGCAACAAGGUGUUUGCAUCUGGCUUUCUGGACCAGAGUGUAACCUCCCUCCAUCGAGACGCUUCUUGUGCAUCCACCCAGAUCCUCUCAGCCUCACCUGUCUCAGGCCCUCUGCCACUGUCCCACCUCCAGCGUCACCACAGCGAUCAGGGCUCCAUGGACUCCACCCAGCUUCUGGCUCCUGGGGCCACUUUGCUCAGCAAAGGAGACACACAAUGGAAGCAUGACUUGGGGUUCGCUGGUCUUACUAUGUUCCCCGCCAUCCAGGAGGAGCAGCCUAAAGGCACAGCAGAAUGAACAAAGGUACCAGCUCAGUGACAAUACUCCAAAGGGCUAGGGCACUACUGCACCAGCAUCCUGUACGGUGGCACGUCCCCAGCAGCCAUGGUGUAGAGU
ensembl:lncRNA